GGCAGCAGUGGGGAAUAUUGCACAAUGGGCGCAAGCCUGAUGCAGCAACGCCGCGUGAGCGAAGAAGGCCUUCGGGUCGUAAAGCUCUGUCCUAUGGGAAGAAGAAGUGACGGUACCAUAGGAGGAAGCCCCGGCUAACUACGUGCCAGCAGCCGCGGUAAUACGUAGGGGGCAAGCGUUAUCCGGAAUCACUGGGCGUAAAGGGUGCGUAGGCGGCUAAGCAAGUCAGAGGUGAAAGGCAUUGGCUCAACCAAUGUAAGCCUUUGAAACUGCAUAGCUUGAGUGCAGGAGAGGUAAGUGGAAUUCCUAGUGUAGCGGUGAAAUGCGUAGAUAUUAGGAGGAACACCAGUGGCGAAGGCGACUUACUGGACUGUAACUGACGCUGAGGCACGAAAGCGUGGGGAGCAAACAGGAUUAGAUACCCUGGUAGUCCACGCCGUAAACGAUGAGUGCUAGGUGUUGGGGGUCAAACCUCAGUGCCGGAGCUAACGCAAUAAGCACUCCGCCUGGGGAGUACGCUCGCAAGAGUGAAACUCAAAGGAAUUGACGG
rnacentral:rRNA from 1 species